GCGCCCGUAGCUCAACUGGAUAGAGCACUGGUCUUCGAAACCAGGGGUUGCAGGUUCGAGUCCUGCCGGACGCGC
rnacentral:tRNA from 1 species